GUGAACGCUAGCGAUAGGCUUAACACAUGCAAGUCGAGGGGCAGCACAAGGUAGCUUGCUCUCUGGGUGGCGACCGGCGCACGGGUGCGUAACGCGUAUGCAACUUGCCCUAUACAGGAGGAUAACCCGUCGAAAGACGGACUAAUACUGCGUAUGCUCACAACUUGGCAUCAAGUGGUGAGGAAAGAAAUUCGGUAUAGGAUAGGCAUGCGUCCCAUUAGCUUGUUGGUGAGGUAACGGCUCACCAAGGCAACGAUGGGUAGGGGAACUGAGAGGUUUAUCCCCCACACUGGUACUGAGACACGGACCAGACUCCUACGGGAGGCAGCAGUGAGGAAUAUUGGUCAAUGGGCGCGAGCCUGAACCAGCCAAGUCGCGUGAAGGAUGACUGUCUUAUGGAUUGUAAACUUCUUUUAUACGGGAAUAACAAGAGUCACGUGUGACUCCCUGCAUGUACCGUAUGAAUAAGCAUCGGCUAACUCCGUG
rnacentral:rRNA from 1 species